CCCGCACAAGCGGUGGAGCAUGUGGUUUAAUUCGACGCAACGCGAAGAACCUUACCUGGGCUUGACAUCCCGAUCGUACCUGCUGGAAACAGCGGGGUCAGUUCGGCUGGAUCGGAGACAGGUGGUGCAUGGUUGUCGUCAGCUCGUGCCGUGAGGUGUUGGGUUAAGUCCCGCAACGAGCGCAACCCCUAUUGCUAGUUGCUAACAUUCAGUUGAGGACUCUAGUGAGACUGCCAGUGAUAAACUGGAGGAAGGUGGGGAUGACGUCAAAUCAUCAUGCCCUUUAUGACCUGGGCUACAAACGUACUACAAUGGCCAAUACAAAGAGAUGCGAAGUCGCGAGAUGGAGCGAACCUCAUAAAAAUGGUCUCAGUUCAGAUUGAAGUCUGCAACUCGACUUCAUGAAGGCGGAAUCGCUAGUAAUCGCGGGUCAGCAGACCGCGGUGAAUACGUUCCCGGGUUUU
rnacentral:rRNA from 1 species